rnacentral:rRNA from 1 species
UACGGGGGGAGCAAGCGUUGUUCGGAUUUACUGGGCGUAAAGGGCGCGUAGGCGGCCUCCGCAAGUCAGUUGUGAAAUCUCCGAGCUUAACUCGGAAAGGUCAACUGAUACUGCGGGGCUAGAGUGCGGAAGGGGCAACUGGAAUUCUUGGUGUAGCGGUGAAAUUCGUAGAUAUCGGGAGGAACACCUGUGGCGAAAGCGGCUCACUGGACCAUUACUGACGCUGAUGCACGAAAGCUAGGGGAGCAAACAGG